rnacentral:lncRNA from 1 species
AUGUCCCGUCCUACUCAACCCUGGCUCUCAUCUACCCUCUUCUCCACCCACCCCCAGCCUGACGCAGGCCACAGGCACAAAUGCCUGAUCAGGUUAUUCACCUUUGGAACCCAGCCACCAUUUUGUGAGGAAGCCCCAGACACAAGAAGAGACCACAUUUGAGUGUUCUGGCUGCUAGCCCCAGCUAAAAUUCCAGUCACAGAAUCACCAGUCAUGUAAAUGAAAAGGCCUUCAGAUGGUUCUAAUUUCAGCCUUUGAGCUGUGCUACCUGAUACUGAGAUGAACUGUCUCUACUGACCCCAGUCAAAAUUGCAGAUCCCUGAGCAAAAUAAAUGUAGUUGGUCUUUUAAUCCAUUAAGUUUUUGUUGUUGUUAUUGUUGUUGUUUUGUUUGUUCGUUAAUCAUUAAGUUUUAGGGUAGUUUGUCACACAGUGUUAAAUUACUGGAAUACCACCAAAUGUCCUCUGCCCUACUUGAGACAUCUGAAUCUUCUGUGCUGGAAUAAGCCUCUUUAAUGAAAAUGUGGCCUUGGGAUCUGGCUGUGAGUUUGUUUUGGGUUUAUCAUCCUUCUCUUGACACAGAUGAAGCAGGCCGACGAUAGAUAGAUAGAUAGAUAGAUAGAUAGAUAGAUAGAUAGAUAAAAUCUGUUUCAGUGUGGCUUAAGUAAAAUGUAGCCAUGUAUUUAAAGGUUUUAUUACUGACUUUGCUUGUGAGGCAUCUCUCCCACCCUUUGGAGUUCCAACAAUUGUCAUUGAAGAGUAGCUCUGAUGCUUACUAGUUGUGUGAUCUGAGCCAAAUUACUUAAACUCUUCAAGCUUUAGUGUCCUCGUCCAUAAAAUGGGCAUAAUGAUACCUACCUCCUUUAUGUAAGCUUGUAGCUCAAAGUCUGGCCCAUUGUAGGUAUUCAAUAAGAAAAAGGUGACUGUUUUGAUUGAAAGUUAAAAUGUUUAAAAAAUUUUUCUAUGUAAAAUAAUCUUGUUGAUGGAGGUCAUACAAAUUUGUAGAACAUAUCCAUAAUUUGUACCUAACUGUAAGACUAUACUACUUUGAAGUCACAAUUCUUCAGGAUCAAAUAAAGGACAGUAAAUACUUAUUACAGCAAUAUAGUCUGUGUUGCUACAACUCACAAGGACAGAUUUAUUAAAAUUGGUGGCACUAAGCUAAGAGUGACUAUAAAAUUGACAAGUUGAAAAGAGUUUUCUUUUUCCCACUAGCUGCAGCCCCCUUACAAAAAAAAGAGAAAAACCUACAUCAAAUGCUUGGGAAAUUCUAAUUGGUUUCUCUUUUCUGAUGGCAAGAUUUAUCCUAUUAGAAACACACAUGGCAUGAGACUGAAUUUUUGGUGGGAUGAGUUUGAAGACUACAGGAUUAGGUAGAUUUGGGGGGAGCAUUUAAUUGGCCCUGGAAUC